rnacentral:misc_RNA from 1 species
GUGUUUUAUUUUUGACAUCCAGAGCCGGAGAGGCCCCUUUUGUCCAACCAUGCAUUCAGAUACAUUCAAUGGUGUUAUUAAAAGAGCAAACAUAGGUUUUGGUUGUAAAACCAAAAAAAACCUACAACAGGUGCACAUGGUGUGAAAAGGGUCAGAAAUGGUUCAAGGAGUGCACAUGCAAACAGGUGCUUGCCAGCAACAUCCUCGAAUAUUUUUCAGUAAUGAUCCUUCCGCAGGUUCACCUACGGAAA